ensembl:snoRNA
GUCUGUAGAAAAUCGCCUUCGGCCUCUAUGGUGGCCGUGGGUGAGAUCCGGCGCAUGAAGCCAGCGGGGCCUCAGCUCACCGCCCGCCCGCCCGCAGUGCACGCAGGUGAAACCUAGGCCCUGACACGC